UACAGAGGGUGCGAGCGUUAAUCGGAGUAACUGGGCGUAAAGGGCACGUAGGCGGUUAUGUUAGUCUGAUGUGAAAGACCUGGGCUUAACCUGGGAUGUGCAUUGGAGACGGCAUAGCUAGAGUUUGGGAGAGGGAAGUGGAAUUUCCGGUGUAGCGGUGAAAUGCGUAGAGAUCGGAAAGAACACUCGUGGCGAAGGCGGCUUUCUGGCCCAAAACUGACGCUGAGGUGCGAAAGCGUGGGGAGCAAACAGG
rnacentral:rRNA from 1 species